rnacentral:rRNA from 1 species
AGAGUUUGAUCCUGGCUCAGGACGAACGCUGGCGGCGUGCUUAACACAUGCAAGUCGAACGAGGUUAAGUGAAGGAAGUCUUCGGAUGGAAUUUAUUUAACCGAGUGGCGGACGGGUGAGUAACGCGUGAGGAACCUGUCUUCUACAGGGGGAUAACGGUCCGAAAGGAUUGCUAAUACCGCAUAAGACCACGGGGUCGCAUGACUUUGAGGUCAAAGGAGAGAUCCGGUAGAAGGUGGACUCGCGUCCCAUUAGAUAGUUGGUGAGGUAACGGCUCACCAAGUCGACGAUGGGUAGCCGACCUGAGAGGGUGAUCGGCCACAUUGGAACUGAGAUACGGUCCAGACUCCCACGGGAGGCAGCAGUGGGGAAUAUUGGGCAAUGGGCGAAAGCCUGACCCAGCAACGCCGCGUGAGGGAAGAAGGUCUUCGGGUUGUAAGCCUCUGUCCUUGGUGAAAAGGAAGGAUGGUAGCCAAGGAGGAAGCUCCGGCUAACUACGUGCCAGCAGCCGCGGUAAUACGUAGGGAGCGAGCGUUUGUCCGGAAUGAUUGGGCGUAAAGGGCGUGUAGGCGGCCUUUUAAGUCCGGAGUGAAAUCCCUGGCUUCAAGUCAGGGUCUGCUUUGGAAACUGGGAGGCUUGAGUGCAGGAGAGGUUAUCGGAAUUCCCGGUGUAGCGGUGAAAUGCGUAGAGAUCGGGAGGAACACCAGUGGCGAAGGCGGGUAACUGGACUGUAACUGACGCUAAGGCGCGAAAGUGUGGGGAGCAAACAGGAUUAGAUACCCUGGUAGUCCACACUGUAAACGAUGAAUGCUAGGUGUAGGGGGUAUCGACCCCUUCUGUGCCGCAGUAAACACAAUAAGCAUUCCGCCUGGGGAGUACGGCCGCAAGGUUGAAACUCAAAGGAAUUGACGGGGGCCCGCACAAGCAGCGGAGCAUGUGGUUUAAUUCGACGCAACGCGAAGAACCUUACCAGGUCUUGACAUCCAAUUAAAGCUUCAGAGAUGAAGUGUGAGCUUGCUCAAAUUGAGACAGGUGGUGCAUGGUUGUCGUCAGCUCGUGUCGUGAGAUGUUGGGUUAAGUCCCGCAACGAGCGCAACCCUUGUUUACAGUUACUAACGAGUAAUGUUGAGGACUCUGUAGAGACUGCCGGGGACAACUCGGAGGAAGGUGGGGACGACGUCAAAUCAUCAUGCCCCUUAUGACCUGGGCUACACACGUGCUACAAUGGCCGUCACAAAGAGGAGCGAGUGCGUAAGUACGAGCAGAUCUCAAAAAAGCGGUCUCAGUUCGGAUUGUGGGCUGCAACCCGCCCACAUGAAGUCGGAGUUGCUAGUAAUCGCGGAUCAGCAUGCCGCGGUGAAUACGUUCCCGGGCCUUGUACACACCGCCCGUCACACCAUGGGAGUUGAUAGCACCCGAAAGUUGUGAGGUAACCGCAAGGAGCCAGCAACCUAAGGUGAGAUGAAUGACUGGGGUGAAGUCGUAACAAGGUAACC